UGUUGUUGAUUUUGAGCGAGUUAAAUUCUCGGGAUGGCCUAUUUAUAGGGGAAAUGCUGCCGAAUUUUCUGUAGAAUUUAAUGUUAGUUGGAAUAAAUGGCUUAAGUGCCUAUGUUUAAUAUUGGAUAUUCGUUGGCAUAUUUGUAGACCUUGGGGAGCCCGAGGCGUAGAUUGGAAUUUACUUUAUAUUGGCCAUCUUGGAGUGCGUACGAGGUACAGACGCACAGUUUGGUGAUCUACCCAUUUAGGACACCCUAUUCUGCUGUUUGGAGUGCUCUUCUCAUUUCAGAGCACACAUUUUGGUAUAUAUUCGUUCGCCAUGUAUAUAUGUAUUUGUUCAGGGGCACGGCGGGGCCCUGUCCCGCCAUAUGAUUCGGUUUGUCUGUUUAGAGGUCUGUAGACGUAUUUGUGGGUGUGUGUGCCUACUUCUGUAUGGAUGUGUUUGCAUGACUCUAUUCGUUAUGGCAGCCUCGUCGGCGUGCAUUUUGUAUAUGUUUGUGGCAGCCUUGUCGGCGUGCAUUUGUAUAUGCGUUUUGGGCCGUUGUGCCAUUUGACAGCCUUGUCGGCUUUUGACAUAUUUGAUAGCCUUGCCGGCUUUUUGAUAUAUGUGCAUAUGUUCGGCGAUGUAUAUUCCGCCGCCUCUUCUGAUUCUGAUAUAAUGUUUUGUACGCGCAAUCGCGCAAGAUAA